rnacentral:rRNA from 1 species
UAGGGAAUCUUCCGCAAUGGGCGAAAGCUUGACGGAGCAACGCCGCGUGAGUGAUGUCGGUCUUCGGAUCGUAAACAUCUGUUAUUAGGGAAGAACAAAUGUGUAAGUAUCUAUGCACGUCUUGACGGUACCUAAUCAGAAAGCCACGGCUAACUACGUGCCAGCAUCCGCGGUAUUACAUAGGAGGCCAGCGUUAUCCGGAAUUAUUGGGCGUAAAGCGCGCGUAGGCGGCUUCUUAAGUCUGAUGUGAAAGCCCACGGCUCAACCGUGGAGGGUCAUUGGAAACUGGAAAACUCGAGUGCAGAAGAGGAAAGGGGAAUUCCAUGUGUAGCGGUGAAAUGCGCAUAGAUAUGGUGGAGCACCAGUGGCGAAGGCGACUUUCUAGUCUUUAACUGACGCUGAUGUGCGAAAGCGUGGGGAUCAAACAGG